rnacentral:rRNA from 1 species
AAUGAACGUUGGCGGCGUGGAUUAGGCAUGCAAGUCGAACGAGAUCUGUAGCAAUACAGUGAAAGUGGCGAAAGGGAGAGUAAUACGUAGGUACCUGCCCUCGGGUCUGGGAUAGCUGCGGGAAACUGCAAUUAAUACCGGAUGACGUCUCUGGACCAAAGGUCUUAUUCCGCCAGGGGAUGGGCCUGCGUCCUAUCUGCUAGUUGGUGUGGUAAUGGCGCACCAAGGCUAAGACGGGUACGGGGUGUGAGAGCAUGCCCCCGCUCACUGGGACUGAGAUACUGCCCAGACACCUACGGGUGGCUGCAGUCGAGAAUCUUCCGCAAUGGGCGCAAGCCUGACGGAGCGACGCCGCGUGUGGGAUGAAGGCCUUCGGGUUGUAAACCACUGUCAGUGGGGAGCAAAUGCAUCAGGGUUCUCCCUGGUGUUUGAGCGAUCCGCAGAGGAAGCACAGGCUAAUUCCGUGCCAGCCGCCGCCGUAACAC